rnacentral:lncRNA from 1 species
AACAGCCUUGUACUUCCCAUUGCUAAGGAUCUGCAUUCCAAUUGCCGAGUGUACAUGUAGUUGACAAAUUUUAGUAAACAUCAACACUAAGUCAAGAGAAAUUAUACAGAUAGCAUUUAAAUGAUAGUCCCCGUAAUAAUUACCAGACCCGACUAGGAAUUGACCUGGCACCAAUAAACUAUUAAUUAAAAAAAUUUCAAAAAAAUAUAUUUAAAAUUUUAAUAUUUUAUAUGAAAAAAUUAAGAAAUAAUUCUUAUAAAUAUAUGCUAGAUAUGUUAUAAAUAAUGAAGAUUAAGAGAUUGUUUUAAAAUAUUUUUUUAUCCCACAUUGAAAAGAUAUUAUGUUAUCCUUUUAAGUUGAAAUAUUUAAACCAAAUUUUUUUUUAUUUCACAUUGAAAAAUAUAACUUUUUUUCUUGUGAACAUAGAAUAUAUAUACUAAAACGCUUCAAAUUCUACAUUGAAAAAAUAAAAUAUUUUUCUAAUAUUUAUAUAGUGAACUUUGAAAAGGGUUAACAACCAACUAAAAAAUAUAAAAAAAGAUGAGUAUUUGGUUAGGAGAAAAAACACAUUUUAAAAAAAAAAAGUUUUGUUAGGUCGCCCAAAUCACAGAUCAACCCGAUAGUUCAACCAGGUUUUUUCAAAUGAUGCCAACUUUUUUGUAGUUAAUUUCAUGAGUAGACCGAUAGUAAACUUUUUUGCAGUGACACUACUUUAUACCUAAAAAAGAACUAAGUAUUAGGAGCAAAUGAUGUAUCAUAAAACAUAGCCAUGUUAAUUAGGUAUGUGCCCACACCCGUCUUUUGCUUUAAUAGCAACAAGUUAUUGCUUACAACCAGUUGGCAUUUAGUGGAGGAGGAGUUAAUGAAGCCUUUAUGAGGAGUCCAUCCUUCAUUUAUUUGAUUUGUCGUUAGAAAAGGAAAAGAAAGAAAAACAAAAAAGAUAGGUAGCAGUCCCAUGAGAACAAUCAAGAAUAGAGGAUGCAAUAAAAGAAGUAAAAGAGAAAUUGAGUGAAAAAUCAAAUAAAGGGCUAAGAAAAUGACCUCAAUUUGAUCACCAAUGUGAAUGAUCAAGGCAUCAGGAAUAUACUUAGCUUCAAUCCACUGGUCAUCCUUGAAGAUUUGCAAUCCGGGGACCUCAUUAGGCACAAGAAUGGUGAUGGCAGAUAGAUCAGUAUGAGCCACUACCCCAAGUGUUAGGUCUGGACGUGGGCAUGGUGGAUAGUAAUUUAUUUUGAGCAUGUAUUCAAUUUGUUCACCUCCGGCAGCUUCUUUCAACACAUGCCCUUCAAGCCCUAACCCUAAAGAGAGGGUUGUGAAUAGCUUGUCCACCACAUCUCUCAUACACUUAGCAUACUCCUUGGUAACUUCUCUGCUCAUAGAAAAAUAUUAUCAUUUAGUCAAAGGGACGAAUCAAGGGUUGGAAAAGUUGGAGGGUCAAAAUGUGUAGUUUUAGUGUCAGCGGUGGCACAUUUCGUGUAAAUGUUCUAAGAUUUUGUAUGAUAUUUUGAAAAAGUUUGAGACAUGCAACCACCUAAACUCUCCUUUCUGAUGGUUAAGAAAUUGAUAAUAAUAAUAAAACUAUAUAUUUUUAGGAGCAUAUUUCUUAAACUGGGUAGUUAAUCUAAAAAAUUCUCAAUUCUAAGCUCUUAAUUUUAGUUUAAAUUUUUAGUUAAGUCGAAUCAGAUAUUAACAGGCUAAAUUUAGUUAUUGAACUCUAACUAAGAUUUUAAUGAUCUAAUUUAUCUGAUCAAAAACUUAAUAUAAAUAUAAUCAAAUCAAUACAAAGUUUUUUUAAAAAAAUAAAAAAACAAUUUUUUAUUAAAAAAAUUAACUCAUGAUUCAAAUCUAGCCUCAUAAUUAUCAGUACUUAUGAACUAAAUCAGUGGUUCAUAUUACGCUGUAGGUCAAAAUAAAAAACAAUUAAUGUGCUAAUUUUUUUCUAGUAAAAUGUUUUUAUUAAAAAGAAAUUAUAUAGAAAUUGAUUCGAUACGACUUAGUCAACCUAAAUAUCUAGUUAAAAUUUAGUUUAUCUUAAAAUAAAUAUUGAAUAUGAGAUUUUAUAUUAAUGUUAAUUAACUAGGAAGCAUGGUCAUGUCUAGAAUUACAGUUCGGUCCUCACUACCCAAGUAUUCCUAAAUCCUUUAUGGUGUCAAGUUUAGGGUUUUGAGACUCGAUUUAAUAAUCUACAAAACGGUUUCUGUAUCUUGUUGCAAACAGUUUCAAGCAGCUGAGGAUUACUUGUGUUAUCAAAAGAAACGGUAUCCCCCAAAGUGGAAAGUGAGGCAUCUAGGACUGUGGAAACCAUGGGUAGCCCCAAAUGACCCCUCAAAGUCGAAACAAAAUAUGUUAAUUUCUAACUAAUUAGGUUCCUACAAAAGUUUUUGGUUGUUUAAUUUCAUGUGCGCUGACUACUGAUAUUAUCUGUCCCCCUUCGCAAGAACUUGGAUUUAGUCCUUACGUGGGAGUACUUGUGUCUUAUGCAGCACAUUUUUUUUUUAUUUUUUUACCCAAUUUAAAUGGUAGAAAACAGACCUGUAAGAAGGAGGGUUUUCGGGCCAGAACUGGUAAUUGAUGGAAGGAGGAGGCCAUAUCCUAUGAAAGAGAUGAUCAACCCAAGAUUUUUUUUCUUGGGGAUCUUUCUGCAAUUUGGAACCAUAGCCUUCGAUGCUUUUUGAAUCACGAGGCCUAGCACACACCUCUUUCUCUUCCUGAGGGAGUUCGAAGAAUUUCUUACCAACACCCUGCAGUUCGGCAAUAAGAUCACUUGGAAUUCCAUGGUUUAUAACCUGGAAUAUCCCCCAUUCCUUGCUAGCAUCCGCAAUCAAAGCCACUAAUUUCUCUUGAUCAGGGUCACUGAGAUCAAUGGCUGGAAUCUCAGGGGCUACACCACGAAAUGUGGUUAUUGCUGGCUGCUCUUUCUCUGGCCUGAUGAAUUCUUGAGGAAUCGCUUCCUUGUCAAAUGACAAAGAAGCGAUGGUUUGAACUCUAUCAAACUCCAUCCUGAAGGUUGUCUUCUUGUUUCUUAAUUUCUCUUCAAAGCAAAAUAAACUGCCCUCAAUAUAUAGAGAGAGACUUGAGUUACGAGCAUGCAUGUAAUUAAAGUGUCUGUAAUUUAUUAUAGGUAGGGCAGUAUGAUCACAUGAUUCACCGAUUAGGUUGGAUUAUUAUUAUGAUUAACUCAAGAAAACACAUGUGGGAUGCUGGUUGGUUGAGAAAUCCAAAUCAAAUUUAACACAUUUAUCUUUAGCAAAGAUUAAGAGUUGUGAAAUUGGAGGAAAGAACUAAAUCAGCCGCUAAUCAGAACCACCACCGCACACAAAUGAUCAAUGAAUAAAUCUUACCAUUUUUUAUUUUAUUUUGAGCGGCAUCGAUUGUUUCGUUUUUAGGUUGGUAGAUCCAACGUCAAUUUAGCCAGGAGGUUUUUGAGAUGACAGAAUCCGAGAAAGUGUACAAAUCUCUAGAUUUUUUAGUUUUGAAUUAUCAUCUAUUCAUCAUCAAAUUCUAGUACAAGCAAAUUUCUAGCCUCACAUUCCUAGAAACAAAAACUCUAAGCUAACGUGGACGUUCCACAUCUUCUUCUUUUUAUUCUGAGAAUGUCUGAAUUGUAAAUUAAUGCACCGUUGGCAACCUUGUUUCAGACCAUGGAAGAUAAUCAUUGAGACAGAGUUCACGUGGCUAUGUAUGAACUUUUCGUUUUCAAACUUCUUUACAAGUUUUUAUUUUAUUUUAUAAAUACUAAAUUAAUAUAUAUAUAUAUAUAUAUAUAUUAUUUUUUAGAUGAUGAUAUAAAAAAUAAAAAAUAUAUUAUUUUAAAAUAUUUUCAAUUAAAAAUCACUUUUAAAAAUAUCUUACACAAUAUUACUAAACAAAUACUAAAACUUAUCAUAUUUCCACACAUAUAUAUACAUGCGAACCACAUACCCUACUUCUUCUAAUCACGUAAGGAGGGCUCUACCCCUAUCUAAAACAAGACAAUAAUCAAAUGGAAAUAGAUUGUGUUAGAUUUGAUAGAUCUAAGCAUGUUUUUAGAAUAAUUUGUAUUUAGAUUUAAUGUGGAAAAAAUAAAUAGAUCUUGAUAUACCUCCCGUUAUUGAUGAAAAAUACUCAGGUUUUUUUUAAAGGUUUUGGUAUUUCUAAUCUCUAGCACGCACAAAUCUAAUGGUGUAUUUUUAAGGCAAAAGUUUGUAUAUUAGUGUGUAAGCCUAGGAAUCAAAAGCAUGUAUUUAUAUAGCAGAAGUCUUAUUAACUUUUAAUUGAUAUAACUUUAUUGCAAUUGAAGAUGAGAGUUAAUUUAUUAUUGGACUAAAAGUUAAAAUUCUUGAAAAAAUUGAAUCUCACAUGGAUAUAAUACAACAUAACUUUAACAUUCUUCCACUUAAUUAAUAUAUUUAACUCAAUCUCUUAACUUAAGCAUAUCCUUUAUCUUUCUUGGAAAACAAAUGCAUGAAUCAUGAUGAUAAGUCCUCUAAUCAUGAGUAUUGCACUCCAUGUAUUACAAUGCAUAUAAUUUCUCAAAUAUUAUUCUAUAUGUGUUAAUCUCACUUAAUGAAUAAACCUUAUAUUUAUUCUUGGUCCUAUAUAAAUGAGUUUUCUCAAAUAAAUUUCAAAUAAAUUAAGGUACACAUAAAUAUUAGAAAAUAUCACAACAAAUAGAACUUCUUUUCUUUAACACAUUCUCUUAUUACUAAAUAUUUGAUGUUGAUAUGUUUACUUCACCUGCCACUUUUGUUGUUUUUAGCCAUAAAAACAUCUAAAUUGUCACAAUAUAUUCUUAAUAGCUUUGAAAUAGAAUCUAUAAUUUUAAUCCUAGAUAUUAAACUUUUAAAAAAUACACCAUGUGCAAUAGCCUAAAAAUAAGAAAUGAACUCAGCUUUCAUAGUGGAAAUAGUAGUCAAAUUCUACUUAACACUUCUACAAGAUACAACUCCAUUGGCCAAUAUAAAAAUAUAUCCUGAUGUUGCUUUGCAUGAAUCAACAUAAAAAACAAAGUUUGAAUCUGAUUAGCCACUUACUUUCAGAUUGUCUGUAUAUCUAUACAUAAGUAUAUAGUAUUUGGUCCUUUGAAGUUACCUUAUUACUUUCUGUACAACUCUCUAGUGGUCUAUACUUGGAUUGCUUUAAAAUUAUCAUAACAUUCCCACAACAAAUAUAAUGUCAUGCCUUGUAUGGAUCUAAGUAGUAUACAUUAAGCUUCCUAUAACAAAAACAUAUGGAAUGUUCUUCAUUUGUUCCCUUUCAAGAUUAUUUUCGUGCAUUGAUUCAAAUUAAACUUAUCUCCCUUAACAAUCGAAGCAACACUUUGUAAACAAUCUUUCAUCUAAAAUCUCUUUACAACUUUAUUGAUAUAGAUUUUUUGAAACAAAUCUCAUAUGCGUUUAAAUCUUCUUUGUAUAUCUUAAUGUAAACGACAUAAAAUACCUCACCUAUAUCCUUCAUGUCAAAGCUCUUAUAAAGAAAUUGUUUCGCCUCAUGUAACAACUUUUAUCAUUGGUCAUAAGUAGAACAUCAUCCAUUUAUAAAACAAUGAAAAAAAGUCUUACUCCCACUGAUUUUUCUGGUAUAUGCAUUGAUCUAUGAUGUUCUCUUCAAGUCCAAAAAAUAAAUUACAUAAUGGAAUUUAAAGUACCAUUGUUGGGAUGCUUGUUUUAAACCAUAUGGAUUUCUUGAGCUUGCAAACCAGAUGUUCAUCAUCACUAAAGGAGAAUCAUUCAGGUUGUUUCAUGUAAACCUCCUCCUCUAGAUCUCCAUUGAGAAAUAUAAUUUGCACAUUCAUUCGUUGCAUUUUUAAGUCAAAAUAUGCUUUUAAUACCAAAAUAAUACAUAGAGAUUCUUUCUUAGAUAUAAGAGAGAAAGUCUCAUUGUAAUUAGUUCUUUCAUUUUGAAUGAAUCCUUUAGCAAGGAAUUUUGCUUUAUAUUGUUCAAUGUUGCCUAAUGAGUCUAUCUUUGUCUUAAAGACUCAUUUACAAUCAAUGAAUCUUGUAUUAUUAGGCAGCUCAACAAGAUCUUAGACUUUGUUACUCUUUAUAGAAUUCAUAUCUUCCUUUAUGGCAUUAUAUAAGAAUUAUGAUUCUUUGCAACUUAUGGCCAGUAAAACAAAUUCAUGAUUAUUUUUUGCUCCAAUGUUAUAGUCAGAUUCUUAUAUAUACAUAACAUAAUCAUUAUGAAUUGUUGAUCUCUUUAUUCUAAUGGAUCUUCUUAAAAAGUAUUUGGUUUAAUUGGUUAUUCAGAAAUUCUUGAUAAUGCUUGAACUACCUGAUCUACUGAAAUGUUGUUAUCAGUUUGUGGAACUUCAACAAUUAGUCUUUAGACCCCAUUUUGUAUUCUUGAACGAUGCUCUUAACAAUAACCAAUAUAUAACUUGAUGUGGAAGGUUGUAAUUCUAAAUGAUAUUUCUCAAAAACUAUGUUCCUGAAUUGAUUGCUCACACUUAUCAAGUCAUUUUCAGAAAACUUUGCAUUUCUUAAUUCCACAAUCCUAGUACUAUAAGAUGGACAGUAAAAUCUAUACUUUUAUACCUUUCAACAUAUGUAACGAAACACACACUAAUGGUCCUUGGGUCUGACUUCUUUUCUUGUGGAUUGUAAAUUCCUACUUUAGAUGGGCAUCCCUAAACACACAAAUGUCGCAAACUUGAUUUCCCACUACAAGAUUUCAUAGUUUUACCGACGGAUAUAUUCCAUCGGUGUGUGAUAGAACUUUCAUCGGUAAAGUAUUUACCGACUAUAUUACCGACGGAAUACUCCCGUCGGAAUACCUUUUGUCGGUGAUUCCACAUUCCGUCGCUAUAUCGGUCGGAAAUACAAAAAAAACUUUUACCGACGGUUUUACCGACGGACAGUGCGCGCCAAAAAAAAAGUUUCCCGCUUGGAAUAUACUGACGGAAUAUUUUCCGUCGGUGUUAUAAAAAUACCGACGGACUAACUCCGUCAGCAAAAGUGUCGGUGAUAUUUUAUACCGACCGAAUAUUUCCGUCGGUAAAUUUAUACCGACGGAUUUGUUCCGUCGGUGAUGGUGGUAGACACUGUCCAAUGCCGACGGAGUUUUUCCAUCGGUAAAUCCCUGUGUAAUUGUUUUUUUUUAAUUGUUUUGAAAAAAUAAUAUAAAUUAAUGGUAAUACAAACCAAUUAUGCAAAUAAAAUUUAUAUUAAGCAACAAAAACUCAAUUAGACACAUCUUUCUAGCCAAAUUAAGUUAUUUGAAAAGCACAUGUUCACCUUUAAUUCAAUUUAAGUUUUUUUAAAAAAAUAUUAAUAAUCUUAUUUUUUAUGUUAGAUUUGUUUUUAUAUAUCAGUUUUUUUUUAAUAUGUUAAUUUUAAUUUCAUAAGUUAGUUUAAUUUACAUAUAAAAAAUUAUAUUUUAUUAAAUUACUUUUGACUCUCCCUAUCAAAUAAUCUGAGUUCCGCCCUGGGUAGAUCCAACGUCAAUUUAGCCAGGAGAUUGUUGAGAUGACAGAAUCCGAUGCAGAAGAAGUAGUUCAAAUCUCCAGAUUAAGUACAAGCAAAUUUCUAGCCUCACAUUCCUAGAAAGUAGAAACAAAAACUCUAAGCUUGUAACUUAAUGCACUGUCGGCAACCUCAUUUCAGACCAUGAAAGAGAAAACAAGAAGAAAAGAUUCCCAACAGGGUUUUGGCCAUAAAAUUAAAUAUAGCAGGUCCAUAAUAUUAUCAUCACAGACAGGACACCAUUAUUCUGAGUGCUAAAUCCAGUGGCAUCUCUAAAGCAAGACCUCAUAAAGAAAUACCAAGUUACAUGCAUAUGAAAUUCAUGGAAGGCUUAUGGGCAGUGACAUCUCCCAAAUCCUCACUACUGGGGAAGCUUAUUGAGUUUACAGUACAUGUAAUCCUUGAAUUUUUUGGUCUUGAACUUUGUAGGAUUGUCUUUGUUAAUGAAUUGAGGAAGAGGACCCACCACAAGCUCGCCGGGUGGCUCCAAGAAAACUGGCCAUGACAUUCUUGCCCUAUCUUUAGCCACCGUGGUUCGAUGCAAAGCAGCCUUGUACUUACCAUUGCUAAGGAUCUGCAUUCCAAUUGCCAAGUGUACAUGUAGUUGACAAAUUUUAAUAACCAUUAACACAAUAAGUCAAGAGAAAUUAUACAGAUAGCCUUUUAAAUGAUAGUGCCCAUGCAUCAUUAUUUUUUCUAAAUGUUUUGUGAAGAGUUAAUUCAUCACAAAAUUGAAACCAGUAAUAAUGAUCAUGUUGUUUCUAAAAUAAAUAUUUUGUAGUUGCAAAAAAAUAUAUUAAAAUGUUCUAAAAUUUUUGUAGUUAAUUUCAUGAGGAGACCGAUAGUCCUCGAACCCGCAUGUUAGUUUUUUUUUUUUUUUUGUAAAAUUAAUAUUAAUUCUAAAUUUCUAUAUGAUGAAAAGUAAAUUAUUCAUUCUAAAAUUAAAAAAUUCACAAGAAACAUUACUUUAUACCUAAAAAUAUCUAAGUAUUCGGAGAAAAUGAUGUAUCACAAAAUAUAGCCAUGUUGGGUAUGCUACGAGCUGUGUGCCCACACCCUUCUUUUGCCAUGAAUGAAGGAUGGACUCCUCAUAAAGGCUUCAUUAACUCAUCCUCCACUAAAUGACCUUGAAAAAAAAAAAAGAAUUCAAAUCUCUUCUUUAUGAUUAACUAAAGAAAAAGGAAAAGAAAAACUUAACAUUGUCUCAUAUAUUUCCAAGAUUGAAAUUUAUUUGAUUUGUUGUUAGAAAUGGAAAAGAAAGAAAAACAAAAAAGAUAGCUAGGAGUCCAAUGAGAACAAACAAGAAUAGAGAAUGCAAUAAAAUAACUAAAAGAAAAAUUGAGUGAAAAAUCAAAUAAAGGGCUAGGAAAAUUACCUCAAUUUGAUCACCAAUGUGAAUGAUCAAGGCAUCAGGAAUGUACUUAGCUUCAAUCCAAUGGUCAUCCUUGAAGAUUUGCAAUCCAGGGACCUCAUUAGGCACAAGUAUGGUGAUGGCAGAUAGAUCAGUAUGAGCCUCUACCCCAAGUGUUAGGUCUGGACGUGGGCAUGGCGGAUAGUAAUUUAUUUUGAGCAUGUAUUCAAUUUGUUCACCUCCAGCAGCUUCUUUCAACACAUGCCCUUCGAGCCCUAACCCUAAAGAGAGGGUUGUGAAUAGCUUAUCUACCACUUU